rnacentral:rRNA from 1 species
GACGAGGGGUCCAAGCGUUGUUCGGAGUUACUGGGCGUAAAGGGUGUGUAGGCGGUCCCCUAAGUUUGGUGUGAAAUCUCCCGGCUCAACUGGGAGGGUGCGCCGAAAACUGGGGGGCUAGAGUGCGGGAUGGGAAAGUGGAAUUCCUGGUGUAGCGGUGAAAUGCGUAGAUAUCAGGAGGAACACCUGUGGUGUAGACGGCUUUCUGGACCGCAACUGACGCUGAGACACGAAAGCUAGGGGAGCAAACGGG